GUUCUGGGAUAGCUCAGCCGGUACAGUAUGAGGCUCUUAAUGUCAGGGUCGUGGGUUUGAACCCCACGUUGGGCA